AAACCCUACCAAAAUUAUCCUCCAAUUUUCGCCGUCAUUCACGGAAAGGAAGGAGAUAGCGGCUGCGUCGGCGCCGAAUUCCUUGCCGGCGUGGCCGCGCCUCCAAUUCGGGAUGCUCGACGGCGAUGCCGCGUCCGGCGUCGAUCUACCCCGCUGUGCUCGUUGAGGAUGUGGUGCUGCCGUCCUUGAAGGCAGACGUCCUGGCCAUGGUGAUGGGGGCUGCGUGGGCCGUCGCCAUUGAUGGCAGGCGCGGUGGCCGCGAAACGGCGGCUGCGCGCGGUACGGUGACGGCGGCCCGGGAGACGGCGGCUGAGCGGUUUCUGUGUGCUGGAGUUUGCUCCGGCGGCGUGGAGCAGCAACCGGCGCAUCGCAAAGGGAUGGAGGCCCCCUUUUCCCAGCCAGUCACCGAUUAUACGUGGUUUGGUCGAUGAGGAUGGCGUGAAAGAUGGCUGCUCCACUCCGGGUAUGUUUGAUGCGAGCAUACAAAACCUUUGCUGUUGCGUCCAACCUAUACUGUAUAUAUGAAUGGAUAAAAUGUUGCCUGGCGAUCGGCGGGGGAGGGCCAGUGGGAGCGGGAACGAAGUUCACAGGCCAGGACGGCCCAUCCUGGGUCCCAUCGCCAUGAGUGCCAAGACCCGAUUUCUCUUCAACAUGACUCAUGGUUCAGAACGCAGAAUGAUUUUUAUAGCAUGGUAUAUGGCGGGAAAUAGAAGUGCUGGAAUUUGUAUUAGCGCCAGUUAAAAGGACGUAUUUUAACUGAUUUGACUAUUUUCAUUUUCAUUGGCACCAAGUAAAACCAUGGUGAUAGAAGAAAGGAAGUGACUGAAAGAAGGAAGGAGAUUGAUUGCCGUUUGAUUGAAAGAAGGAAGGAGAUUGAUCACCGUCAUGAAUGAAUUAAUUGCCAUGCAUGAAUUGAUUGCGUUUGGAUUGAUUGUUGAUUGAUUGCGCUUGGUUGCAAAGAAAAUCGGCUGUGGGAGAAAACCGUUGGAGGGAGGGAAAAAAAUCGCUCGAGGGGAGGGGGGAUCGUACGAAGGGGUUGGACGAAGAGGGGGAACGUAAGAGGGGAAACGGAACCUUACGUUUCUUUUAGGUAGUAGAGAUAGGGGAUUCCUCCAUCGAUGCAGUUUUUCGUACAUGGCUUCUGUGCGUUGGUUCUUCAGGUGCAACCAAAUGGUUAUGUGCAACCGGUGACAUUUGAGACUGGCCUGUUCGGCGAGAGGAGAAAGUGUCUAUUGUCAAACUUGUUCUUAACAUGUUACAUUUGGGUUGGAUUAGAUUAGAUAGCUCUAUUGUCUUCUUGGCUCUGUAAUAUAUAGCUGCAAGUAUUUGGAUAUGGAUAAUCCGUAGAUGGUCGUGAUGUUGUGUUUGGUUGAUUUCGUUCGGUUCGAGGAUGUUUGAAGUUAGUAUGGCGUGUGUUUUUGUUAGGAUAGCUGGAAGGUUGCGUUGGGCUGAAAUCCGGGGUAGGGCGUCCCCUUGAUGCGAAUGAUUAUGUGCCACUUGUCAGUUUCAUGAGAUAUGAAAUUGGGGGCAUGAUGCUCCCUUUCUAGAACAAUAAUAAUAUAGCUCUAAUGUGCUGUUUGUAUUUAUUUUUGUUUGUUUGUUGUGAGCAGCGAUGGAGGAACAGGCCCAUUGGCAAAUUGGAGGCAUGGUAUUCCUUUUCAUUCAUUUGGUCGUUUCGGAUCACCUAUAUUCAACCAAAGCGGUCAUCUUGUUGGGAUAUCUUAUCAAGAUUACGAGGCAUGGUCCGUGAUGUUCCUGCAACAAGCUGUCCUUAGGGAAGCAGAGAUCAGCAGUGCAUUGGGUAGUGUUUCGUAUGUACUGAACGGAAACCCAAUUCCCCGUGAAGUCCCAAUUCUGCCCAAAGGACCAGUCCCGCCCGUCUAGGAGCAGCAGGCUUGCAGGAGAUAGCGCCUCAUGCCUUCACCUUAACAGCAGAUGGAAAAUAUCAGAGUACAUCCACAGGCAGCUGCAUACACGGUGGAGUUGACUGUUGUUGCAGCCUAGUGUAGGUUUCAGUUUGGUUGCUAUUAUUAAACUAACCAUCUGACUUGUUAUCGCAGCCUAGUGUGCUUGUUGAUUUAGUUUCUGUCUUGAACUGCCAUGACUUAUUUGCAGCCUAGCGUAGUUUUCGAUUUAUUCUCUUUGUUGAAAUGUAAUCUGAUUUGCUGUGGUAGCUUAAUGAACUUGUGGAUUUAGUUUCUGUUGUGAAAGCUAUCAUGUGGCUGGAAUCACUUU